UACGGAGGGUGCAAGCGUUAUCCGGAUUCACUGGGUUUAAAGGGUGCGUAGGAGGGCAGGUAAGUCAGUGGUGAAAUCCCCGAGCUUAACUUGGGAACUGCCGUUGAUACUAUCUGUCUUGAAUACCGUGGAGGUGAGCGGAAUAUGUCAUGUAGCGGUGAAAUGCUUAGAUAUGACAUAGAACACCAAUUGCGAAGGCAGCUUACUACACAAUGAUUGACACUGAGGCACGAAAGCGUGGGGAUCAAACAGG
rnacentral:rRNA from 1 species